GACGAACGCUGGCGGCGUGCUUAACACAUGCAAGUCGAACGGGAAGGCCCUGCUUUUGUGGGGUGCUCGAGUGGCGAACGGGUGAGUAACACGUGAGUAACCUGCCCUUGACUUUGGGAUAACGUCAGGAAACUGGGGCUAAUACCGGAUAGGAGCGCCUGCUGCAUGGUGGGGGUUGGAAAGUGUCUGCGGUUGGGGAUGGACUCGCGGCUUAUCAGCUUGUGGGUGGGGUAGUGGCUUACCAAGGGUUUGGCGGGUUUGCGGGCGUGAGAGGGGGCCGGCCCACAUGGUGAGUGGGAUACGCCCCAGACACUCCCGGGGGGCAGAGGUGGGAAUAUUGCACAAUGGGCGGAAGCCUGAUGCAGCAACGCCGCGUGCGGGAUGACGGCCUUCGGGUUGUAAACCGCUUUCGCCUGUGACGAAGCGUGAGUGACGGUAAUGGGUAAAGAAGCACCGGCUAACUACGUG
rnacentral:rRNA from 1 species